rnacentral:rRNA from 1 species
GACGAACGCUGGCGGCGUGCUUAACACAUGCAAGUCGAACGGAAAGGCCCUGCUUUUGUGGGGUGCUCGAGUGGCGAACGGGUGAGUAACACGUGAGUAACCUGCCCUUGACUUUGGGAUAACUUCAGGAAACUGGGGCUAAUACCGGAUAGGAGCUCCUGCUGCAUGGUGGGGGUUGGAAAGUUUCGGCGGUUGGGGAUGGACUCGCGGCUUAUCAGCUUGUUGGUGGGGUAGUGGCUUACCAAGGCUGUGACGGGUAGCCGGCCUGAGAGGGUGACCGGCCAGAUUGGGUUGGAGAUAGGGCCGGGCCUCAUACGGGCGGCAGGAGGGGGGAAGAUGGAUCAGUGGGUGGAAGCAGGAUGGAGCAAGGCCGGGUGCGGGAGGACGGCGUUCGGUUGGGAAGCAGCUUUCGCUUGCGAGGAAGGGUGAGUGCCGGAAAGGGGUAAAGAGGCCCGGCUAACUUCGUG